rnacentral:rRNA from 1 species
UACGGAAGGCAGCAGUGGGGAAUAUUGCACAAUGGGCGCAAGCCUGAUGCAGCCAUGCCGCGUGUAUGAAGAAGGCCUUCGGGUUGUAAAGUACUUUCAGCGGGGAGGAAGGCGGUGAAGUUAAUAGCUUCACCGAUUGACGUUACCCGCAGAAGAAGCACCGGCUAACUCCGUGCCAGCAGCCGCGGUAAUACGGAGGGUGCAAGCGUUAAUCGGAAUUACUGGGCGUAAAGCGCACGCAGGCGGUCUGUCAAGUCGGAUGUGAAAUCCCCGGGCUUAACCUGGGAACUGCAUUCGAAACUGGCAGGCUAGAGUCUUGUAGAGGGGGGUAGAAUUCCAGGUGUAGCGGUGAAAUGCGUAGAGAUCUGGAGGAAUACCGGUGGCGAAGGCGGCCCCUGGGACAAAGCUGACGCUCAGGUGCGAAAGCGUGGGGAGCGAAACAGGGAUUAGGAUACC